UAAGCCUGCGAAGGUGGCCUGUGAGGGUUGCUGGAGGUAUCAGAAGUGCGAAUGCUGACAUAAGUAACGAUAAAGCGGGUGAAAAGCCCGCUCGCCGGAAGACCAAGGGUUCCUGUCCAACGUUAAUCGGGGCAGGGUGAGUCGACCCCUAAGGCGAGGCCGAAAGGCGUAGUCGAUGGGAAACGGGUUAAUAUUCCCGUACUUGGUGUUACUGCGAAGGGGGGACGGAGAAGGCUAUGUUGGCCGGGCGACGGUUGUCCCGGUUUAAGCGUGUAGGUGUGUGUUCCAGGUAAAUCCGGUU
rnacentral:rRNA from 5 species